UUGGUGACAGCGGAGGGAUCAUUA
rnacentral:rRNA from 1 species